GCGGGUGUAGCUCAAUUGGAUAGAGCACCGGUCUACGAAACCGGCGGUUGCAGGUUCGAAUCCUGCCAUCCGCG
rnacentral:tRNA from 5 species